CCUACGGGUGGCAGCAGUCGAGAAUCAUUCACAAUGGGGGAAACCCUGAUGGUGCGACGCCGCGUGGGGGAAUGAAGGUCUUCGGAUUGUAAACCCCUGUCAUGUGGGAGCAAAUUAAAAAGAUAGUACCACACGAGGAAGAGACGGCUAACUCUGUGCCGGCAGCCGCGGUAAUACAGAGGUCUCAAGCGUUGUUCGGAAUCACUGGGCGUAAAGCGUGCGUAGGCUGUUUCGUAAGUCGUGUGUGAAAGGCGCGGGCUCAACCCGCGGACGGCACAUGAUACUGCGAGACUAGAGUAAUGGAGGGGGAACCGGAAUUCUCGGUGUAGCAGUGAAAUGCGUAGAUAUCGAGAGGAACACUCGUGGCGAAGGCGGGUUCCUGGACAUUAACUGACGCUGAGGCACGAAGGCCAGGGGAGCGAAAGGGAUUAGAUACCCGUGUAGUC
rnacentral:rRNA from 1 species